rnacentral:lncRNA from 10 species
UCUGUGCUUCUCUGACUGCUAGUUAAUUUUGAGUACUUCCCAGAGGCUUUCGUCUCCUAGGAGGCACAUAACCACCAGCUGUCCCUGCUGCCUGAACACAGACCACUAGGCUUUGUUCGUCCUUAGUCCUACGCCCACUCCUCCAAGUAGCAGAAGAAAGACGAUGGGAAUGUUUGCCGAACAGACAACACCCAAGAAGUACUCUAGCAGGCCUAAAACCUAAGCAGG